rnacentral:sRNA from 1 species
UCCUAGCCCCGAUUGAAGCAAUUGUUUGAGCUCUUUUUUGUUUUUUUUAAACAAAAAAAGCGAGUGCGGAAAGCGGGAAAUAGC